rnacentral:rRNA from 1 species
CAAUGUUGUGCAUUUGCAGGUCGAGUGCGCCGAGACUUUCAGAAGGCGAUAUGAGCUCAAUUUUGAGGCCAGCUUGCUGGUACCCGGAUUGGAGGAAUGUUGUUCGUUUUGGAUGUGAAUGGGGGGAAAGGUUUUCGGGCUCGUAUGGGUUCGAAUUGGUGUGGGGUGGCAGUUGCAUGCAACAUGUGCCUUCUGCCAAUUCGGUCCUGUGCGAGCUCACAAUCCCACUCUCGGCGUAAAAGUUGGUCAUCUAUCCGACCCGUCUUGAAACACGGACCAAGGAGUUUAUCGUGUGCGCAAGUCAUUGGGUGUUGAAAACUCAAAGGCGCAAUGAAAGUAAAGAAUCCGCAAGGAUACGACGUGUGAUCUGAGCAAUCACGAUUGCCUGGAGCAACAUGGCCCCAUUCUGGUCGCUUGCGACGGGGUGGAGGAAGAGCGUACGCGGUGAGACCCGAAAGAUGGUGAAYUAUUCCUGAGCAGGAUGAAGCCAGAGGAAACUCUGGUGGAAG